rnacentral:lncRNA from 1 species
UGCGAUUAAAGUGAGCAAAUGUUUAAUCCCCCGCUGGGUGUUGCCUGUCCCAUGUUCCCGCCCGAUUGCAAAAUCGAAUCUUAGCCGCUGGAUUUCACAGAAAACGAUACCGAAAGCUUAACUCAGCGGCGUGUUGUUGUUAUCUGUAUCGCGGAAGUAGGUGACGUUGGACUUUGGUCCCUAACGACGUUCCGUAGAAACGUUGCUCGUGCGCCCCCAGUGAUACGCACAGUCUCAGUAGCAACAAGAGUCAGCGGGCAUGAUGGCAGACACACCCCGGGACACGGCUCACAGCGGCGACACCAGUUAAGUUAGCUAACGUCAAUUAAGUUAAACAUAAGCGUUUGGAAGAUGUCUAAAUCGGGCACUCAGCGUUUGUCUGACUCUCUGAAGUCGGGGGACAAUUUCAACAAGCGGGUCUGUGUGUAUGACUGCCGCUUCGAGAAUGAAGAGGCUGUGUACAAAUGGCUGGACAUAAGUGGCUUCGACUUCAACGACUUUGUUGAUGCUCUGCAGCAGGUAUCAAAAUCAGCGCCGCUAUACUCCGCGCGUGACCGUGACGAGCUGACGGCUCGGAGCUCCCGGCUGACGGCGAUGAGCGUCCGUCCGUCCCCCGGCUGAUGGAGUUGAUGACCGUCUGUCCGUCCGUCCUGUACAUAUUUGUUUCAGUGCUCUCAGAAGCAUGCAGCUUUAUUAAUGACAUAUACUCUAUAGGUUUUUAGAUACACCUCACUACAACAAAUCAUAGUUGCAGGACUGUUGCAUGAUCCCUGCAGUGAUUGUUUCUCUGACAGAAGUUGUAGUGAUGAUAAGAUAUUUUAUCAUUUUAUGAUGCUGUCAAUAAAGAACAACUUGAAAGAGCUUGAAAGAUGAACAUUAUAACCUCCAUGAAGUUAGGAUUUACUUAUUGGCCGUUCAGCACUAACUUUUGCUAUGACUACCUACAUAACUGGUAACUAGGUGCAGGUAUGUUAUGAUUUCUUUUAUGAGUAUCAAGGAAAUUAAACCAGCAAGAUAGAGAGACUAGCUCUGGUUGUUUCACAUGUCAUUAAAUUCAGAUUGAAAUCAAGCAGCAAACCUGUUAAAAAAAAACGUGAUGUAAUGGAUAAGUAACAGUUGCUAAACCACAACUCAGGAGCGGAAACAAGGUGCUUGUUUGGCAGGCCAAGAAAUGCCAGAAUUUCAAAGUCGGUGACCGGAAAAAAGUCCUUUUGACUUGAUGAAUCCAAGUUUGAGAUUCAUGGCAGUAACAGAAUGGUGCAUGUAAGGAAACACUUUGAAAUAGUAAAUCUUGUUGAGAAGCAGUUAAAUUCCUGUCUCGUUUUUGAGGUUGUGUGGUGUCAUGGGGAAAAGCCAGCCAGUGCCUUUUGA